rnacentral:lncRNA from 1 species
CCAAUACCAUUAUAGACCUAACAAACCAUUACAAAUGAAAAUGACUUCAACCACUCCAAAUAACUUCAUUGUUUUAAAACAGAAAAGUUGAAACUAAUUAAACAAUCCUACAAACUCAUUCUAACUACCACAAUUUAAUUUCAGUCUAGCUACAAGGAAGUUACAUUAAUUGAGGAUAACUUCUCCGAUACCCCUUAAUCUACGAACUUAUAAACAGCUACGACAAACAGAUAUAAACAACUAUGCACUAGCAGGCUCAAAUCUCCAUUUUUCACUCCAAU